GACGAACGCUGGCGGCGUGCUUAACACAUGCAAGUCGAACGGAAAGGCCCUGCUUGCAGGGUACUCGAGUGGCGAACGGGUGAGUAACACGUGGGUGAUCUGCCCUGCACUUCGGGAUAAGCCUGGGAAACUGGGUCUAAUACCGGAUAGGAGCCAUUUUUAGUGUGAUGGUUGGAAAGUUUUUUCGGUGUAGGAUGAGCUCGCGGCCUAUCAGCUUGUUGGUGGGGUAAUGGCCUACCAAGGCGGCGACGGGUAGCCGGCCUGGGAGGGUGGACGGCCACAUUGGGACUGGGAUACGGCCCAGACUCCUACGGGGGGCAGCAGUGGGGAAUAUUGCACAAUGGGCGCAAGCCUGAUGCAGCGACGCCGCGUGGGGGAUGACGGCCUUCGGGUUGUAAACUCCUUUCGCUAGGGACGAAGCUUUUUGUGACGGUACCUAGAUAAGAAGCACCGGCUAACUACGUG
rnacentral:rRNA from 1 species